rnacentral:ncRNA from 1 species
AGGCGGGGACGACCCCGCCCGGCCCUUGCGGUCGCCACGCGGGACGGCCCGA